GAGGAAGGUGAUCUGGUUGCAACAUCUGUCACCCCAUUGAUAGUCAGGGUUCAUUCAGCUGACCUGGCUGGCUAGGUGGGUGUCUGCUUCCUCCUUCACUUUUUCAUGUGCAUUCCUCCUGAAACUGCGUGCUUGAUCGAAGAUGACCUCCCCCAGUAGAGGCAGUACCUAGCGUUUAUCAACCAAGGAUAUAUGGUAGCUGCACUCCCCUGCUAGAGCCUCCAAACAAUCUAUGAUUUUGUGACAUUGAGUCUAGAAGAAAGUUCAACUCCUUUUUAGUAAUUUCAUAUAACUUAUUAUUAU
rnacentral:snRNA from 1 species